rnacentral:tRNA from 1 species
UUUGUGUAGAUUAGUUUAAAUCGCAACGCUGUUAACGUUGAGAUGGAUUUAUGUCCCGCUAAC